rnacentral:rRNA from 1 species
UGGGGAAUUUUCCGCAAUGGGCGCAAGCCUGAUGGAGCAAUACCGCGUGAGGGAGGAAGGCUUUUGGGUUGUAAACCUCUUUUCUCAAGGAAGAAGCACUGACGGUACUUGAGGAAUCAGCAUCGGCUAACUCCGUGCCAGCAGCCGCGGUAAUACGGAGGAUGCACGCGUUAUUCGGAAUUAUUGGGCGUAAAGCGUCCGCAGGUGGUGCCUCAAGUCUGCUGUCAAAGACCGAAGCUCAACUUCGGGCAGGCAGAGGAAAGAGAAGGACUAGAGUACGGUAGGGGUAGAGGGAAUUUCCAGUGUAGCGGUGAAAUGCGUAGAGAUUGGAAAGAACACCAGUGGCGAAGGCGCUCUACUGGACCGUAACUGACACUCAGGGACGAAAGCGUGGGGAGCGAAAGGGAUUAGAUACCCCCGUAGUCC